AGGUCAAUUCUGAUGAGGUUCUUGACAUACUCCAUGAUGCUGGAAAUGUUAUUCAUUAUGCUGCCUACACUAAUCCGAAUGGUGGGCCUAAUUUCAGAUGGGGUGACGUGACGUACUCUGAUGUUAGCCAAGCCAAGAAAGCAAAUACCCACCUACACUCCUAUGAAUUGCCUUACAACGUCAAUAGAAUUCAACUGAAACCUACCCGUGUUGAAAGUACUGCAUCUCAGAAUUUUACCCAGCCUUCUGGUGUUAAGGUUUUAGUUAGCUGGUUUCCUUUGCCUGCCAGAGAAAAAGCUUACAUCAAGUGUAAGACUCGAGAGAUCGCUGACGAAAUAGUCUACAACCUCAACCAACAAAUGACAUCGACGUUAUCAAAAAGAUCUUUUGUGCAGAAGUUAGGUGGUGAUAUCGCUGUAUUUGUUCGGAUGACGGAUGAUGAAUUUACAGUCAGGAAACAACUCGAAGGUUGUUGUACCACGUCCCAAGUUGAAGGCGUCUCGAAAAUUACAGUUCCGUCCAAUGAACUGUAUGAGGUAGAUCUUCAAGCAGAGAAAGAAAAAUUGAUGGAAGUCAUGAAAGAUUUCGGAACUGUACAAGUCCUGAAACUUUGGUUUGCAAAUUGUAAGAAAGUUCGUGCAUGUAUAGUGUUCGAGAAAUUCGAAAGCGCUGAGGACGUUAUCCUCAAGUUGAACGAAAAGAGGGACGUGUUGGGAGUUAGGGCGAUGUAUCUGGAGUUGGAAAAAAAGAGAGAAAUCACGUGUGAUGGCAGAUUGUACGACAAGAUAAGGAGGGAAAUCGAAGCACUCAAGAAUGAUGAAAUCAUUAUUGAAGUGGAGCCACGUCAGAGACGUAAGAAGAUAAUAAUUUCUGGAGAGGACCCUCAGGUUAGUUGUACAUGUUUUUUGUCGAAAUAUAAGGAGAUGCAUUUUUAUCUCUAUGUGGUAUUUACAAGCAGGGCUGAGAUGCAAAAUUGUUUUCACAACUGUUUUCGUACAUAAAUUUCAUAGCCUGAGGAGAUUAUGUUGCAGUAACGCUGUCGCUGUUACUGAAUUCAUCUUAAUGAAGACGUUGUUUUGAAUAGGUAAUCACACGGGAAAAGUCGUGCAUUAAUGAUUAACACUGCUUGUGAUUUUUGAAAAUUGUGCCAAAAUUGCACGAGCGCGCCGAGGCGAAUGCAAUUUGACACUUUUUUUCAAAAAUCACAUCAUCACGAGUAGUGUUUUAAAAUUAUUAAUUGCACGACUUGCCCGUGUGAUUAUUUAUUUAUUAUAUACAUGACAAAAUUAUAGCUACCCCCCCCCCCCGGUAUUGAUGUCACGUGAUGCAGAGAACACAU